rnacentral:rRNA from 1 species
AUUGAACGCUGGCGGAAUGCUUUACACAUGCAAGUCGAACGGCAGCACGGACUUCGGUCUGGUGGCGAGUGGCGAACGGGCGAGUAAUGUAUCGGAACGUGCCCAGUCGUGGGGGAUAACGUAGUGAAAAUUACGCUAAUACCGCAUACGAUCUAUGGAUGAAAGCGGGGGAUCGCAAGACCUCGCGCGAUUGGAGCGGCCGAUAUCAGAUUAGGUAGUUGGUGGGGUAAAGGCGCACCAAGCCAACGAUCUGUAGCUGGUCUGAGAGGACGACCAGCCAGACUGGAACUGCGACACGGGCCAGACUCCUACGGGAGGCAGCAGUGGGGAAUUUUGGACAAUGGGCGAAAGCCUGAUCCAGCCAUUCCGCGUGCAGGAUGAAGGCCCUAGGGUUGUAAACUGCUUUUGUACAGAACGAAAAGGUUUCUACUAAUACUAGGAGCUCAUGACGGUACUGUAAGAAUAAGCACCGGCUAACUACGUGCCAGCCGCCGCCGUAA